rnacentral:rRNA from 1 species
UGGGGAAUAUUGGACAAUGGGGGGCAACCCUGAUCCAGCAAUGCCGCGUGUGUGAAGAAGGUCUUCGGAUUGUAAAGCACUUUCGACGGGGACGAUGAUGACGGUACCCGUAGAAGAAGCCCCGGCUAACUUCGUGCCAGCAGCCGCGGUAAUACGAAGGGGGCUAGCGUUGCUCGGAAUGACUGGGCGUAAAGGGCGUGUAGGCGGUUUACACAGUCAGAUGUGAAAUCCCCGGGCUUAACCUGGGAGCUGCAUUUGAUACGUGUAGACUAGAGUGUGAGAGAGGGUUUGUGGAAUUCCCAGUGUAGAGGUGAAAUUCGUAG